CCCGCACAAGCGGUGGAGCAUGUGGUUUAAUUCGGCGCAACGCGAAGAACCUUACCUGGAUUUGACAUCCCGGGAAUCUUUCUGAAAGGAUUGAGUGCCCUUCGGGAGCCCGGUGACAGGUGCUGCAUGGCUGUCGUCAGCUCGUGUCGUGAGAUGUUGGGUUAAGUCCCGCAACGAGCGCAACCCUUAUCUUUAGUUACCAUCAUUAAGUUGGGGACUCUAAAGAUACUGCCCCGGUUAACGGGGAGGAAGGUGGGGAUGACGUCAAGUCCUCAUGGCCUUUAUGUCCAGGGCUACACACGUGCUACAAUGGGUUGUACAAAGGGUUGCGAACUCGCGAGAGUAAGCCAAUCCCAAAAAGCAACUCUUAGUUCGGAUUGGAGUCUGCAACUCGACUCCAUGAAGCUGGAAUCGCUAGUAAUCGUGGAUCAGCACGCCACGGUGAAUACGUUCCCGGGCCUU
rnacentral:rRNA from 1 species